UGUGUUUAGCGCACCUCAGGUGGAGAGUGUGACUCUGUGCGGUAGAUUCCGAUGGGGAUCUCUGAGCUAGAUGAACAGAACUUCUGGAAUAAUCUUCCGUAUGUCCGGAUCCAGAGGUUUAAGGAUCUGGACGCAGAGAGGACAGUUUGGAGCGAAGUCCUUCACAGCCCAGGCUCUAAGAAUGGACACAGAGAGAAGGAUCAACAGAGCAAUUACAACUCAACAGACCAUUCAGAGAAAGCUCUGUCGCCUGAGUGAUGUCGUGAUUGGCCAUCGAGGCGGUCGCUCACUUGGCUCUGAGCA